ACUCCGAACGUCCCAGUUCCUCAUCACACGGAGAAGGGCUUCGAGCUCUUUCUAGGGGCGCUCAGCAAAGGGGCGGCCGCCAACUUGAAACCAAUGACCUCCUCUGCGCCGCUGCCUUCUUCCAGCCGCGGCGUUGCCUCACCUGCUAAAGGAGCGAGUCGAUCUGACGAGGCGUUUGAGCGCUUUCUCAGGCUGCUGAACAAAAACGCAGAAGUCAACCCUAAUGAGAUGGCCUCCGAUGUGGCCCCACCCCUUCCCAGCUUGCUCCACACGUCACCUGCAGACGAGGACAUCAGCGAGCGGCGCGACCUCCACGCCGUCAGGAACCUGAACAACGCAGCGGAUUCAAGCGUGCUGUAUGAAAAGGUACGUUGAUUGAUUGAUUGAUUGAUUGAAAGCAUUGUAGUCAAAGCAAUAAAGAAUUUACACAGUUUUAUCAAACUCGUUACAGAAAUGAUGAAAGGCAUAAAAAUGGAUUGGGAAUUAUUCAAACAGCUGUCGAUCCUUAACUCUUCUUGUCUUCAUAUCAUGACAUCAGAGCUUCUUUAUACCUUUUCUUGAAUAUUUGGAUAUUUGUACAUUGUUUGAGCUCAUUACUUAACCCGUUCCAAAGUUUAGUGCCACACACAGAAACCUUUCCCAUCCUGAGUGAGAACAAAUAUAGAAGUCAGUUUGUGUGUUUUUCUCGUUCCUUUCUAUCGUUUUUCAUUCAGUGAGGAAACUUGAAAAAAAAUCUCAUAGUACUUUACAAAAAUUACUUCAAUACAUAUUUUUCUGUGCUUCAAAAUAAAUUAUUUCAAGUCUUAAAAAAAUAAAAUCAAACAUUUGACUAACAUUUGACUAACAUUUAACGUUUGCUGGAACUUUCCCAGAUUCCUGUUCCCAGACAAAGUUCUUCUUCGUCCACAAACGAGGAGAGCAAAGUGGAGAAAGGUUUUGAGCGCUUUCUCAGCGUGCUGAACAAAGGAGUGGACAUCAACCUCCUCAGUAAGAUAGUUAUGGAUAGUAAGGAGGUAGUUCCCGCCCUUCUCCCCUCUGUGGAGCGGAACAAGAGUGAGGAGCCUCUCAGGAGGGGGAGCUCCUGUUCCAACAGCGGAGCUCCUCUGCCGGGCCGCAUCCGGACCAGCAGUGCCGAGUCAAGGACCGACCGUCCAGAGCGGUCGCUACCCGAAACCGCACAAGACGAGAGGCUCUGCAGCGUGAACUCCGACAACCGCGCGGCGUCUCCUCUGGAAAGGAGGAAGUUGGAGGAUGAAGAACUGCCACGCUCAGAGGAAGCCUUGAAGCAGCUGCAGGACAUUUGUAGAACUCUGAAGCUAAACAUGGCAGCAGAGAAGAUGAGCAAAGAACCGGAUCGCACGCAAGGAGGGAAGACGGGGAGCAGGCGGGUCAGCGGGGAGCACAGCGGCUCCUCCUCCUCCCCCCCCAGAAGUCGCAGCCGCUCGCCACAUCGCCACAGGAAAGAUCAAAAGUUGAAACAUGGCGGCUCUCACGAACGAAACAGAAUGAGUGUAAUGCAGCCAGAAGAAGAAGAUGCAGAAGGUCCGGUGGGCAGCGACAGAAACCGACAGGAAGCAUCUCCUUACCUUCACGUGUCUACUGCUGCUGCUGCUGCUGCUGCUGCUGCUGCAUUCCCACAUAGUUUGUACCAAGACCCCCGUUUCCCCAGUGACCUCGCCAACGCCAGCAGAGAUGUGGCGUACCCUUACUGCUCGUUUCCUCAGAGCUACAGCACGCUGCUCGCCCUUCCCCCCGACGUGCAUUCCUGCCAACCAGCAGAAUUUCACCGCCCCGCGUGGACCGACCCUCAGUGUGGAUUGGAAAGCGCGACCCCGCUUUGGGGUCUCGACCUUUCCGCAUCUGAAGGUCAGACCGGAUUGUCUCCUUGCGACGCCAACAGCAGGUCUCGAUUCCUAACAGUCGUCGACACGCAGGCUUCUUUGAACACAAAGUCCUCCCACGGGUCAAAGCCAAAAAAAAAGUAUCGACCAUGGAAGAAAAAUAAAAAACCAGACAGAAAAAGAAUUCGUAAAAAGAAGGACAAGGGAGACAAGCCUGAAUCGAAGCCACUUUCUUCAUCGAGCAAGACGACCAAGGCCAAGACAUCGCAGCAGCCUGCAGCGCCGCAAGCUUCCGUGGCGCCAAAGCCGUCCGUGGCGCCUAAGGCAUCGUCAACGGUGACCUCCCCGGCAGGAACUUCCCAGGCGGGCCGGGGCGCUCCGACUAAGCCGUCGGAUGAGCGGAAACCACAGCUGCUGACAGAGGAGGAGAUAAAGGCAAACCUGAGGAAAAAGCUUCAAGCGUUUAAUGAGAAAGCAAAGCUUGCUAAGCAGAUCUACCGGCCCUCACAGCCAGACGACUCGCUGUCCCUGGAGCUGAGCUAAC
ensembl:lncRNA